rnacentral:lncRNA from 1 species
ACUGACGCGGGGAGUGAGGAGUGCGCAGGGUGCGCAGAAAAAGAAAGAAGGGGGACUGACAAGAGGAGGUCAGAGAAGAAAAGGCUGCCCUUGCAGCCUUGAAAAACAGAAAGCUUGCGCGGAGCAGUGAGGAGAGAGCAGCACGGACUGGGAGGAGGACAGAGAGCAAACGGAGAGCAGAAAAACAAGAAGAAGAAAAAUAGAGAGCUCACGCCACUGCUUGGCAAGGGAAAGAGGAAACCUCUGCACUCUCUUAUUUCGGUUCUAUUUUCCUAAACUCAUGUUUAACUUUUGGUUUAAUUUGAGAAUAAUGUGUAACUAAUUUUAUUUUGGCUAGAGGUUAAUUCAAAGCUAUGAAUAUAUUUGUAAUAUGAAUUGAUUACCUUCAGUUGUGAUUUCUGAGUUGUGAUUUAAUUUGCUUAACUGCUUGAUUGAUAACUUAUUUGUGUAUGUCGAUUAAGAAUGCAUACUUAAUUUACAUGCAUGAAUUUGAUGCUAGAAUAUAAGUGAAUUUCACCUAAUCGUUAUGAACUUAUAUUCACAAGUAGUGAAGGUUGUUAUCCACAAUCGUGUUAAGUGAGUUCUAGGCUGGAUUAACAUGCGUGUUCCAUAGUUAUGAAUGCCUAGUCAAUGUUUAUGAUUUCCGUUGAACUUAAUGAUCUUUGUUGAAUGUCUCUAUCAUGCGUAUUCCAUAGUUAGGGACUUUGAUGAGGAAUAAUUUGGUUGUAAUGCGUAUUCCAUUCAAUCCAAUGAAUUUAGGGAAAUCUAAGAGUUAAUUUAAGCGGACCUAAUUAACUUGGAACAUUGUCAUUCACAAUUUAUUGAAAGAACAACUGAAAAUCAAUUUAGGUUGCAUAUGUGUUAUGUGUGGAGAAGAACCCUCUAGCUAAUCCGUCACCUAUCCUUUCACCUUAAUUCAUGCUUUUGUCAAUUCUUUAAUUUAUUUAAGUUUAAUUUACUUCUCGUCAAAACCAAACCCCACCCCCAUUAUUAAAUUAUAUUAUUUAGUUAGUUUUCAUUGUUGUUAGUCUUUUAAUUCAAUUUCCGUCCAUUUCAGUUCCUAGUGUCUAAUUUGAUUGUUUUCAUUAUUUUGAGUCAUUCUAAGUAUGUUUCGAGUUAUUAGAGUUUUUAGCCUAGUUUUGUGUCCUUGAGUCUUGUUUAAUAUUUUUAAAUUAAUUUAGAAUAGAUAAGCAAUCCCUCCUAAUCCCCGGCCUAAAACGAUACCCUACUUACAUCUAUACUACAAUUGUCAAAAAGAGGGUUUAAUUUGUGUGUGAAGUAAUUUUCACAUCAAAUUUUGGCGCCGUUGCCGGGGAUUAGCAACUUUGCUAAUCCCUUUAUUUUUGUUUUUGUUUAUGUUUAUUUUGGUGUUUGUGUAUUUUACUUUUGAUAUUUGAUUUAUUUUUCUUUCUUUGAUUUUAGGUACAAAUGGAGCAAGACAUGGCACUUGCGACAAUUCAAGCUCAAUUGGCACAGCUCACUGCUCAAUUGACUCAUAAUGCCGAACGGACCACAAUGCCAAGUGUCCCUACAUUUGAUGUGCCCUAUGGGCAAGGAUAUCAAAGUCCUCAAUUUUCUGCAAAUGAAGAUGUUUGGGGAUAUCAAGGCCAUAACCAAUCAAGGGGCAACAUGUUUUCCAACGCUUGCAAUUCAGAUUGGAGAGGUAAUUCAGAUUAUAUGUGGGAUGAACCUCAACAAUUUCAACAAGGUGGAUAUUGGCAGCAAGACGAGUUCAAUUCAAGACCUAUACAGCCACCACAGUAUCCCCCACAACAAUUCCAAUCAAAUCAAAGUAUGCCCGUGAAUUAUAAUGAAAUUCUUUAAGGACUAAUUUCUUUGGCGCAGGGUUCACAAAAAGAAGAACAAUUGCCGCCAUCGGAAGAGUUCUAUCAGUGGCCAUAUGAACCGUCACAGCCACCACAACAAUCAACCCAAUUCAAUUCAGGUACGUCUUUGGAUGAUGAUAUGUUUAAUAAGUUACUCACCUCUUUGAAUCAGGGAGUAGAAAAUCAAAAACAGGAGAUGCAAGACCGAGUCAAAAGAGUGGACGAAUUGGAGAUGCAAGUUGGGCAGAUUGUGGAAUUCAUGGCACAGAUUCGAGAUCAAAGUGAACUUUCCAACUCAAACAUUGCAAAUUCAAAGGCAGAAAGUGAAAUCGAUGAAGCCAUCACUUUGGAAGGUGACAUGAAGGAUGAAGCUGUCCCAGAACCAUCCAAACACAGCCCGAACAUGGAUGAAUUGCUGCUGCAAGCAGAAGAGGAGGAGGACGACCUGGGCAGUUUAGAAGAAUUCUUGCUGUAAGCUCCUCAAAUCCCUAUGUCAUCCAACUCAGGUGAGGAAGUUCUAAAUUCACUUCAUUCUAACAUUAUUCCACCGAAUGUCCUUUGUCCUUGCAGGUUUUUGAUUCCAAAUAUCAAAGAGAGUGAAAAAGACAUUGUGGAAGCUCUUCCAAAAGUGCAAAGUGAUAUCCCAAUUCUUGGUGCACCAAAACAAGUUCCCGAUGGUAUUGAAACGUUCAAAGAACCUUGCACACCAAGAAAAGGGAUUCAAGAGAAUGAAGUGGUUGAAGCAUAUCAAGAGUACAUCCAAGAGGCUGUGCAUGAGACAAUCAAGCCCAAAGCAGUUGAGUUUGAUGACACGGGACAAGCCACAACCAUCAUAGUAAACCUGGCCAAGUUCAAAGUCCCGGAAAUGUUCAAAAAUGUGGUGUUUGUCAUUGAGUUUGUGUCGGAAAAAGAAAGUAAGCCAUCUUCUCCAAUUUUAAUUUUAAUUUAUACUAACAUGUUUCUGAUUUUGAUGAUUCAGGCACCCACUCUUGAAUUUAAACCAUUGCCGAAUCAUUUCAAGUAUCACCUCCCAUUAAAAGAUAAAUUCCAUGCUUUGGAGCCGAGUGGAGUUUAAAGGAAAGAUUCGUCCGGCUAAAGACGUUAAAUCAAGCGCUUCUUGGGAGGCAACCCAAGCAUUCAACGAAGGGAGACUUUGGAAUCGCUAACCAAAUCAGAUUUGCAUUCUUACACCCUUAUCUUUACUGCUUUCAUUUUGUUUUGUUCAGUUAGUUGUGUUAUUUGGUUGAUUUCUGUGAGUUUGUGUUAUUUAGUUUAAGUGUGGGGGAAGGUUAAACAAAGUCUUUUUACAUUGAUUUACAUAUUUUACAUUGAUUUUAAAAAAAAAAACAUAAAAGUAAAAAUAUUUUACAAUGAUAUGUAAACUAAUAAGCAUUCAUUGGUCAGGUGGUGCUUCAGUAGUCGGUGGAGCUUCAGCAGUCGGCGGGGCCACGGAAGGAGGAGGUAUCGGAGGUUGAUCAGUUGGAGCUUCACUACGCGGUGCUGCCCCAGAAGACGAAGGCAGAUGCGAUUGGAACAAACCCACAAACCUCCGGUGAUCAAGUAAAAUCUGACCAUCAGUUUCCUGCAGCUGGUCAAUUUUCCUCUUCAUGUUUGUGGCAUAAUUGUGUGCAAGCUUUUGCAAUUGUUUAGUUUCAUGCUUGAGUCCUCUAAUCUCCUCUUUGAGACUCUGUAUUUCAACCACCAACGAUUCAACGUGACGGGUUCGAGCAAAUAGGCGUUGGGCCAUGUUGGACACAGAACCCGCACACUGCACGCUAAGAGCCAGAGACUCCUUAACCGCCAAUUCAUCAGACCGUCUAGCGAGCAGUCUGUUAUCUCUGGGGGUGACAAGGUUCCGGGCCACCACCGCAGCGGUCAUGUCAUUUUCAUCACCGAAUCCCCCACGGUAAGGGGACCGGUAGGGGAUAUGAAGGAUGGGCGCCAUAUGUUGUCUAGUGAAGGCGGAGCUGCCUAUUCACCAAUGUUCAAGUCAAAACGACGAUCGGAAGGGCCAGACAUUUUUCAGAAUGGUAAAGAAAAAAGAGAUCGGACAGAUUAAGAUUUUGGAAGUGCAAGAAGGGAGUGUUUACAGGAGGGAGCUCAGCUUUUAAAUAAAAUUAAUAAAAGAAAUAAUAAUGAUAAAUCAUGAUGAUGUUUGAAACAUCAUCAUGAUUCAUGUUUCAUGGCAGACUGUAAAGGAAAGGUGUGGAUGGCAUGGAAUGAGUGGAGAAACAAAAGAAUAAAAUUGAAAAAUAGAAGUGGAUGAGGAAAGGAAUACACGGGGGGGGGGGGGGGGGGAAACAGAAUAAGAAAAUAAAAAAGGACGGGAGACAGAGAAGAGGGGGAGAAGUAGGAAAAUGGAGCAGAAAAAGAGAGGAAGGAGGGAGAGCGCGCGGGACUGACGCGGGGAGUGAGGAGUGCGCAGGGUGCGCAGAAAAAGAAAGAAGGGGGACUGACAAGAGGAGGUCAGAGAAGAAAAGGCUGCCCUUGCAGCCUUGAAAAACAGAAAGCUUGCGCGGAGCAGUGAGGAGAGAGCAGCACGGACUGGGAGGAGGACAGAGAGCAAACGGAGAGCAGAAAAACAAGAAGAAGAAAAAUAGAGAGCUCACGCCACUGCUUGGCAAGGGAAAGAGGAAACCUCUGCACUCUCUUAUUUCGGUUUUAUUUUCCUAAACUCAUGUUUAACUUUUGGUUUAAUUUGAGAAUAAUGUGUAACUAAUUUUAUUUUGGCUAGAGGUUAAUUCAAAGCCAUGAAUAUAUUUGUAAUAUGAAUUGAUUACCUUCAGUUGUGAUUUCUGAGUUGUGAUUUAAUUUGCUUAACUGCUUGAUUGAUAA